GCCCUCGUAGCUCAGUGGAUUAGAGCAGGACACUCCUAACGUCAAGGUCGCAGGUUCAAAUCCUGCCGAGGGUACAA
rnacentral:tRNA from 1 species